UGGUAUACAUAGGGAUACAUAAUGACAUGGCUUGCCAUGUAGGAUGCUGACUAGACAAAUUCAAAAAUUAAAAAUCAAACUCUUAAAAUAACUCUUUUAUCUCUCUUUGGACUCAAAUAUUUUUUUUCUCUCUCAUCAAUCUCUCCCUCUCCUCCCUCACGACCUCUCUUCCUCUCUCAUGGCCAACACCGGAUCUCCACCGUCCGGCCACCAAUCCGACCGCCACUGCUGUCAAAAGAAGCGCCCGGCUCCCACAAGCAAAGCCCAGCCACCACUUGUCGUCAUCCGUCAUUGGUUUUUUCGGAAAUCCACCUUGAAGUCGUGGGUUUUCACCGAACAAAAAACACAGAUCCAACGGAUUCCGGUGUCGGUUUGGCAACCCAACACCACAAAUGAACUCCGUUAGGUGAGAAGCACCUAGCCAGCCCUUUGUCGACCAAAACGGUCACCGGAAAAUGGAGACCCACUUCAAAGAAUGGUCAAAACCAAAGACACAAAGAAGAAACCCACCUCAUUGCAAUAUUGGUCUAAUAUGCAAGGGCUAACACCACUAGUAUGCUUGAAGAAGAAACAUAAAAGGAGUUUGCGAAAGACACCUUUUUGGAAUUUGUUCAAGGUGUUCAUCGAUAAGAAACACGUGGGAAUUACACCUCGAGGAUUUUAUUUUUGUUGACAUGGAUUGUAUUGAAAAGUGUCAAAUACGUUGUCAAUUUUGUUAAAUACACUGGUAGUUCAUUAACAAAUGAGUAAUAAAUACUCUAUCGAA